UGAGGAAUAUUGGUCAAUGGGCGAGAGCCUGAACCAGCCAAAUCGCGUGAAGGAAGACUGCCUUAUGGGUUGUAAACUUCUUUUAUACAGGAAUAAAAAAGGGGACGUGUCCCUUAUUGCAUGUACUGUAUGAAUAAGCAUCGGCUAACUCCGUGCCAGCAGCCGCGGUAAUACGGAGGAUGCGAGCGUUAUCCGGAUUUAUUGGGUUUAAAGGGUGCGCAGGCGGGCUUUUAAGUCAGCGGUGAAAUCUCGGGGCUUAACUCCGAAACUGCCGUUGAAACUGGGAGUCUUGAGUAUGGAUGAAGUAGGCGGAAUUCGUUGUGUAGCGGUGACAUGCUUAGAUAUAACGAGGAACUCCGAUUGCGUAGGCAGCUUACUAAGCCGUAACUGACGCUCAAGCACGAAAGCGUGGGGAUCAAACAGGAUUAGAUACCCUGGUAGUCCACGCCGUAAAACGAUGAUUACUAGUUGUAUGCGAUAUACCGUAUGUGACUAAGCGAAAGCGAUAAGUAAUCCACCUGGGGAGUACGCCGGCAACGGUGAAACUCAAAUGAAUUGACGGGGUCAUAGCUGUUUCCUG
rnacentral:rRNA from 1 species